GACGAACGCUGGCGGCGUGCCUAAUACAUGCAAGUAGGACGCAGUUGCGAACGGGUGAGUAACGCGUAGGUAACUACCUAUUAGAGGGGGAUAACUAUUGGAAACGAUAGCUAAUACCGCAUACUAGUAGAUGGACCUGCGUUGUAUUAGCUAGUAGGUAGGGUAAUGGCCUACCUAGGCAACGAUACAUAGCCUAGCCGUGAAGGUGAACGGCGCCCCGUGGAAUGAGACAAGGGUCAGGCCUCCUAGGGAGGGCGGCGUAGGGGAACUUCGGAAAAGGGGCGAACCCUGACCGAGCAACUCCGGGGGAGUGGAGAAGGGUCUCGGAUUGUAAAGGCCUGUUGUUAUGGAAGCGGUACUUAAACAGAAAGGGACGGCUAACUACGUGCCAGCAGCCGCGGUAAUUC
rnacentral:rRNA from 1 species